GCGUCGGUGGUAUAACGGUUAGCAUAGCUGCCUUCCAAGCAGUUGACCUGGGUUCGACACCCGACCGACGCA
rnacentral:tRNA from 1 species